rnacentral:misc_RNA from 1 species
UCCGUUUUGUCAACGGCAGUCUCGCUAGAGUGAUCAACUAAAUGUAUCAACUAACAAUAAGGGUUGCGCUCGUUGCGGGACUUAACCCAACAUCUCACGACACGAGCUGACGACAACCAUGCACCACCUGUCACCGAUGUCCCCGAAGGGAAACCUCUAUCUCUAGAGCGGUCAUCGGGAUGUCAAGACCAGGUAAGGUUCUUCGCGUUGCUUCGAAUUAAACCACAUACUCCACUGCUUGUGCGGGCCCCCGUCAAUUCCUUUGAGUUUCAACCUUGCGGUCGUACUCCCCAGGUGGGAUACUUAAUGUGUUAACUGCGGCACGGAAGGGGUCAAUACCUCCCACACCUAGUAUCCAUCGUUUACGGCGUGGACUAC